rfam:Papilio machaon contig20827, whole genome shotgun sequence.
GUGCCUCAAUUUAUUGAGUAAGGAAAUUAUUGGGCCUUGGUAACGCUUGGCUAUGUCCUAGUUAAGGGCGACCGAUUUUUUGCAGGGUACAGGUCGUCCUGUGAGUUGCGCGCCUACUUUGCGCGCGAUUCCGGUGAAGCGAUCUGCCCU